rnacentral:rRNA from 1 species
UAUACGUAGGGUGGGAGCGUUGUCCGGAAUUACUGGGCGUAAAGAGCUCGUAGGUGGUUUGUCGCGUUGUUCGUGAAAUCUCACGGCUUAACCGUGAGCGUGCGAGCGAUACGGGCAGACUAGAGUACUGCAGGGGAGACUGGAAUUCCUGGUGUAGCGGUGGAAUGCGCAGAUAUCAGGAGGAACACCGGUGGCGAAGGCGGGUCUCUGGGCAGUAACUGACGCUGAGGAGCGAAGGCGUGGGGAGCGAACAGGAUUAGAUACCCUGGUAGUCCACGCCGUAAACGGUGGGUACCAGGUGUGGGUUUCCUUCCUUGGGAUCCGUGCCGUAGCUAACGCAUUAAGUACCCCGCCUGGGGAGUACGGCCGCAAGGCUAAAACUCAAAGGAAUUGACGGGGGCCCGCACAAGCGGCGGAGCAUGUGGAUUAAUUCGAUGCAACGCGAAGAACCUUACCUGGGUUUGACAUGCACAGGACGCGUCUAGAGAUAGGCGUUCCCUUGUGGCCUGUGUGCAGGUGGUGCAUGGCUGUCGUCAGCUCGUGUCGUGAGAUGUUGGGUUGAGUCCCGCAACGAGCGCAACCCUUGUCUCAUGUUGCCAGCGGGUAAUGCCGGGGACUCGUGAGAAACUGUCCGGGGUCAACAUCGGAGGAAGGUGGGGAUGACGUCAAGUCAUCAUGCCCCUUAUGUCCAGGGCUUCACACAUGCUACAAUGGCCGGUACAAAGGGCUGCGAUGCCGCAAGGUUAAGCGAAUCCUUUUAAAGCCGGUCUCAGUUCGGAUCGGGGUCUGCAACUCGACCCCGUGAAGUCGGAGUCGCUAGUAAUCGCAGAUCAG